UACGAAGGGGGCUAGCGUUGCUCGGAAUUACUGGGCGUAAAGGACGCGUAGGCGGAUAUUUAAGUCAGGGGUGAAAGCCUGAGGCUCAACCUCAGAAUUGCCUUUGAUACUGAAGAUCUUGAGACCGGAAGAGGUAAGUGGAACUGCGAGUGUAGAGGUGAAAUUCGUAGAUAUUCGCAAGAACACCAGUGGCGAAGGCGGCUUACUGGUCCGGUUCUGACGCUGAGGCGCGAAAGCGUGGGGAGCAAACAGG
rnacentral:rRNA from 1 species